rnacentral:tRNA from 1 species
UUCGGGGCGUGGCGCAGCCUGGUAGCGCAUCUGUUUUGGGAACAGAGGGUCGAAGGUUCGAAUCCUUUCGCCCCGACCAC